rnacentral:lncRNA from 1 species
AAUAUAUGUCAGAAUCUACUGGAAGAAUACAUCUAUUUAAAUCCUCUCUUGCAGGUGCCAUGGAUUUCUGUAGCCUAAAUAUCCUGAAAACUGUCCAACACUUGUCCUUCUCACACUUGACAGCAAGGACUCUUUCUGCUUUUCCUCCAGGCCUGGUGGCCAUGUCACAUGGGGCUCAAGCUUUCUGGCAUUUCAAGCAGAAGUGGAAGAAGUUUAAUGGACAAUGAUUGCUGUCAAGCCCUGCAGGGACAGGUUUCAAGUGGCAGCUAUGUGGGAUAAAUGCAGCAUGUGGAAUACAGGGCCUGAGGGAUGCUCAGCACCCAGCAUUACAGGAUUCUGCCUUUUUCUUGUCUUUGUUUCAAAGGAGCCUGUCCAAAUGGUCAAAGAGCACUCCCAGGAGCUCCUUCAGGGGUUUAUUUUUGAAGAACACUUUCUCAUUUGCUUUGACACGAGACAUGCAAAGGUGUGGUGCAUGUGGGACACCUGAUGAUGACUCCAGUGAAUGUUGCUGCUGCUCAGUCAACAUCAUAAGGAAGAAUAUCAACUCUCUGGUGUCUGUGGGUAGUUUUCUUCUCAUUCUUCACCUGAAAAGAAGACAACUGUUUCCUUAUCCCAGAGGGGUCUCUAACUUAAGGGUUGGAUUUGAUGGCCCACAGGGAUCAGCUAAAUGUGACUAUCCUUCAUUUACAGAUGUGUGACAUCUGUGUCUGAGCUGCUAUCACAGGGCAGUUCGUGCAGAAACUUCUCAGAAAAUUUCUGGUUUGUAUGGUCAUGUACCAUGGUCAUGUGAGGUGAUCCAAGGUAACUGGCUUUCUGGGAGACAAUGCCAUCCUUGUAAAAGGUCUGUAGCAGAAGAAAAUGUGGUUUUUUUUACAUUGCUUCAAAUAUGAUAUGCGGUUUUUACACUGUGAAUAACAUCCUUUAAUAUCUAUAUUUGGCUUAGCAACUACAAUAAAUCUGACUCUGGAACAUAAGCCUAGAGACCG